UGAGAAGACCAUCUUCCACCUUAACCCAUCUGGCCGUUUCGUCAUUGGCGGACCUCAUGGUGAUGCUGGGCUCACUGGUCGCAAGAUCAUCAUUGACACCUAUGGUGGCUGGGGAGCCCAUGGUGGUGGUGCCUUCUCCGGCAAGGACCCCACCAAGGUCGACCGCAGUGGUGCCUACAUUGUGAGGCAGGCGGCGAAGAGCAUCGUGGCCAAUGAGCUUGCGCGCCGGGCCCUUGUUCAGGUCUCCUAUGCCAUUGGUGUGCCAGAGCCUCUUUCUGUGUUUGUUGAAACCUAUGGCACUGGAAGGAUCCCUGACAAGGAGAUCCUGAAGAUUGUCAAGGAGAACUUUGACUUCAGGCCUGGGAUGAUCACCAUUAACCUUGACUUGAAGAGGGGCGGCAAUGGCAGAUUCCUCAAGACGGCAGCUUAUGGACACUUUGGCAGGGAUGACCCAGACUUCACUUGGGAGGUGGUCAAGCCCCUCAAAUGGGAGAAACCAGCUGCCUAGACCAAACAAUCAUAAUCUUAUCCAACUAGUGACAAUAACUGCAAAGAAUGGCUAUUUCAGUAGUGAUACAACUACAAAGAUUGGCUGCU
rnacentral:lncRNA from 1 species